AGAGUUUGAUUCUGGCUCAGAACGAACGCUGGCGGCGUGGAUAAGACAUGCAAGUCGAACGGAUUUUCAUCUGUAGCAAUACAGGUGGAGGUCAGUGGCGCAAGGGUGCGUAACACGUGGGCAACCUGCCCUGGAGUCUGGGAUAGCCCGCCGAAAGGCGGAUUAAUACCGGAUGUGGCUACCUGCUAAUUAGUAGGGACGCUAAAGGUGGCGCAAGCUGCCGCUCUUGGAUGGGCCCGCGGCCUAUCAGCUCGUUGGUGAGGUAACGGCUCACCAAGGCUAUGACGGGUAGCUGGUCUGAGAGGACGACCAGCCACACUGGAACUGAGACACGGUCCAGACACCUACGGGUGGCAGCAGUCGAGAAUUUUUCGCAAUGGGGGCAACCCUGACGGAGCGACGCCGCGUGGAGGAUGAAGGUCUUCGGAUUGUAAACUCCUGUCAUUGGUGAACAAGGCAUUCCCGUUAACUGCGGGGGUGAUUGCUAGUAGCCGAAGAGGAAGGGACGGCUAACUCUGUGCCAGCAGCCGCGGUAAUACAGAGGUCCCGAGCGUUGUUCGGAUUCAUUGGGCGUAAAGGGUGCGUAGGCGGUUUGCUAAGUUUGAUGUGAAAGCCCGGGGCUCAACCCUGGAAUUGCAUUGAAUACUGGCGAACUAGAGUACUGGAGAGGAAACUGGAAUUUACGGUGUAGCAGUGAAAUGCGUAGAGAUCGUAAGGAAGACCAGUGGCGAAGGCGAGUUUCUGGACAGUUACUGACGCUGAGGCACGAAGGCCAGGGGAGCAAACGGGAUUAGAUACCCCGGUAGUCCUGGCAGUAAACGGUGCAUGUUUGGUGUGGGAGGAAUCGACCCCUUCCGUGCCGGAGCUAACGCGUUAAACAUGCCGCCUGGGGAGUACGGUCGCAAGAUUAAAACUCAAAGAAAUUGACGGGGGCCCGCACAAGCGGUGGAGUAUGUGGCUUAAUUCGAUCCACGCGAAGAACCUUACCUGGGCUUGACAUGCAUCUCUAAGUCGGUGAAAGCCGGCGAGUCGAGCAAUCGACAAUUUGCACAGGUGCUGCAUGGCUGUCGUCAGCUCGUGUCGUGAGAUGUUGGGUUAAGUCCCGCAACGAGCGCAACCCUUGUGGCCUGUUGCCACCCACUUUUAUAGUGGAGCACUCUGGCCAGACUGCCCUGUGAAACGGGGAGGAAGGUGAGGAUGACGUCAAGUCAGCAUGGCCCUUACGCCCAGGGCUGCACACGUACUACAAUGCACAGUACAGAAGGAGCCGAGACCGCGAGGUGGAGGAAAUCACGAAAACUGUGCCCAAUUCGGAUCGCAGGCUGCAACUCGCCUGCGUGAAGCCGGAAUCGCUAGUAAUGGCGCAUCAGCUACGGCGCCGUGAAUACGUUCCCGGGCCUUGUACACACCGCCCGUCACAUCAUGGGAGUCGUUUGUACCCGAAGCCGACCGCAAGGCCGUCUAAGGUAUGAGCGGUAACUGGGAUGAAGUCGUAACAAGGUA
rnacentral:rRNA from 1 species